rnacentral:rRNA from 1 species
GACGAACGCUGGCGGCGUGCUUAACACAUGCAAGUGGAGCGACGAACCAGGGCUUGCCCUGGGGCAGAGCCGCGAACGGGUGAGUAUCACGUGGGUAACGUGCCCCGAUGACUGGGACAACCCGGGGAAACCCGGGCUAAUACCGGAUGUGCCCCCUCACAUCAGUGAGGUGUGUAAAGGAAGCUUCGGCCUCCGCAUCGGGAUCGGCCUGCGGCCCAUUAGCUUGUUGGUGAGGUAACGGCUCACCAAGGCCGCGAUGGGUAGCUGGUCUGAGAGGACGAUCAGCCACACUGGGACUGAGACACGGCCCAGACUCCUACGGGAGGCAGCAGUGGGGAAUCUUGCGCAAUGCGCGAAAGCGUGACGCAGCAACGCCGCGUGGGGGAAGAAGGCCUUCGGGUCGUAAACCCCUUUCAGUUGGGACGAAGGUCGGGCCGUUAAUAGCGGUUCCGACUGACGGUACCUUCACAAGAAGCCCCGGCUAACUACGUGCCAGCAGCCGCCGUAACAC